rnacentral:rRNA from 1 species
AAAUUGAAGAGUUUGAUCAUGGCUCAGAUUGAACGCUGGCGGCAGGCCUAACACAUGCAAGUCGAGCGGUAGCACAGAGAGCUUGCUCUCGGGUGACGAGCGGCGGACGGGUGAGUAAUGUCUGGGAAACUGCCUGAUGGAGGGGGAUAACUACUGGAAACGGUAGCUAAUACCGCAUAACGUCGCAAGACCAAAGUGGGGGACCUUCGGGCCUCAUGCCAUCAGAUGUGCCCAGAUGGGAUUAGCUGGUAGGUGAGGUAACGGCUCACCUAGGCGACGAUCCCUAGCUGGUCUGAGAGGAUGACCAGCCACACUGGAACUGAGACACGGUCCAGACUCCUACGGGAGGCAGCAGUGGGGAAUAUUGCACAAUGGGCGCAAGCCUGAUGCAGCCAUGCCGCGUGUGUGAAGAAGGCCUUCGGGUUGUAAAGCACUUUCAGCGGGGAGGAAGGCGAUAAGGUUAAUAACCUUGUCGAUUGACGUUACCCGCAGAAGAAGCACCGGCUAACUCCGUGCCAGCAGCCGCGGUAAUACGGAGGGUGCAAGCGUUAAUCGGAAUUACUGGGCGUAAAGCGCACGCAGGCGGUCUGUCAAGUCGGAUGUGAAAUCCCCGGGCUCAACCUGGGAACUGCAUUCGAAACUGGCAGGCUAGAGUCUUGUAGAGGGGGGUAGAAUUCCAGGUGUAGCGGUGAAAUGCGUAGAGAUCUGGAGGAAUACCGGUGGCGAAGGCGGCCCCCUGGACAAAGACUGACGCUCAGGUGCGAAAGCGUGGGGAGCAAACAGGAUUAGAUACCCUGGUAGUCCACGCUGUAAACGAUGUCGAUUUGGAGGUUGUGCCCUUGAGGCGUGGCUUCCGGAGCUAACGCGUUAAAUCGACCGCCUGGGGAGUACGGCCGCAAGGUUAAAACUCAAAUGAAUUGACGGGGGCCCGCACAAGCGGUGGAGCAUGUGGUUUAAUUCGAUGCAACGCGAAGAACCUUACCUGGUCUUGACAUCCACAGAACUUUCCAGAGAUGGAUUGGUGCCUUCGGGAACUGUGAGACAGGUGCUGCAUGGCUGUCGUCAGCUCGUGUUGUGAAAUGUUGGGUUAAGUCCCGCAACGAGCGCAACCCUUAUCCUUUGUUGCCAGCGGUUAGGCCGGGAACUCAAAGGAGACUGCCAGUGAUAAACUGGAGGAAGGUGGGGAUGACGUCAAGUCAUCAUGGCCCUUACGACCAGGGCUACACACGUGCUACAAUGGCAUAUACAAAGAGAAGCGACCUCGCGAGAGCAAGCGGACCUCAUAAAGUAUGUCGUAGUCCGGAUUGGAGUCUGCAACUCGACUCCAUGAAGUCGGAAUCGCUAGUAAUCGUAGAUCAGAAUGCUACGGUGAAUACGUUCCCGGGCCUUGUACACACCGCCCGUCACACCAUGGGAGUGGGUUGCAAAAGAAGUAGGUAGCUUAACCUUCGGGAGGGCGCUUACCACUUUGUGAUUCAUGACUGGGGUGAAGUCGUAACAAGGUAACCGUAGGGGAACCUGCGGUUGGAUCACCUCCUUACCUUAAAGAA